GGAGUUGUGCCUGAAAUAAAGGGUCACUUUGAUAGAGUGAAUCAUGAGGGAUAAAACCCCCCCACCUCCU
rnacentral:tRNA from 1 species